rfam:Candidatus Desantisbacteria bacterium CG1_02_38_46 cg1_0.2_scaffold_5377_c, whole genome shotgun sequence.
GUUUGAACGACGAGUCCAUUAAAACAAGGAUUGAAAC